UACUCCCUCGCUCCUUCCAGAGUCCAAACGCGCACAUCUCACCAUAUAAACGUGAACCCCAGCCAUUCACUCUGAUCUCUACAUUUUCAGUUUCAACCUCACGGAAUUCCAAGCUUUCAACCUCGAAAAACAUUAAUUUCUUCAUAUAGAAAUAAAUCGAGGAGGUUCUAUUUCUUCUACGUUUCUCAAACUAAGCGAUUGGAAGAAGAACAAUGUCGGUGACGUCAAGAACGACUCAGCUCCAAAUGCACAAGAAAUGGAAAGGCAGAGAAACAAGCCCUGAACGCACUAAAGUUUGGACUGAACCCCCUAACCAUAAUAAGCUCAACAAAGUACCCGUUGUUUACUAUCUCUCCAGAAAUGGCCAACUUGAACAUCCUCAUUUUAUGGAAGUUCCCCUAAUAUCCUCUCCUGAUGGUCUCUAUCUCAGAGAUGUGAUCAACCGCUUGAAUUGUCUUCGUGGAAAAGGCAUGGCCUCUAUGUACUCCUGGUCUGCUAAAAGAAGCUAUAGGAAUGGAUUCGUGUGGCACGAUUUAACAGAGGAUGAUUUUAUAUACCCAGCACAUGGUAAAGAGUAUGUUCUUAAAGGAUCAGAGCUUCUCAAUAAUUCAUUCCCUUCACAACAGGAUGAAAUUGAAUGUCCUAAUUCUAGAAAUCCAGUGCCUGAGAAAAUGAGUGAAGAUCGUGAGUUUCCAGUUGUAGCAAGACGUCGUAACCAGUCCUGGAGUUCCUCCGAUUUCCAUGAGUACUUAGUUUCCGGCGAAUUCAUCGGAAGAGCCGCCGCCAAUGCGUCUACUCAAACCGAUGACAAACGACGUCGUCGAAGAGCAAUGCGAGUCGUCGAAGAAGAAGAAGAAGAGUUGAGAGAAGACCGGACAAUUAAACUGGACGGUAAAGAACCGGACCGGUCAACGGAGCUGAAUAGAGGUGAAAUCUCACCACCAACGUCCCAUUCAAGCUCCGAAACGCUUGAGACGUUGAUGAAGGCGGAUGGAAAAGUGAUCUUACGGCCACAUACAAUCAGCGAAGAUCCUACGGCUAAAAUUCAAUCAAGCGGAAAGAGUAAUAAAGCAUCUUCCGUUCUGAUGCAAUUACUCUAUUGUGGUUCCAUGUCCUUCAAGCACUGUGGGCCCGGUUCUUUAAUUUCACAAUAUAAAACACUGGUGCCACGUGGCAGGUGUACCAAUCAAGUGCUGAAGGAUGUAGAGAGUCCAAUGGUGGAAUAUCAUGGAAGUGAAGAGAGAAUUAAGUUGAAAGAUAAGGAGUAUUUUAGUGGGAGUUUAAUAGAGAUGAAGAAGCAGAAAUUUCCAGCUCUAAAGAGAUCUUCUUCAUACAAUGUGGAAAGGUAUAUGAAGGUUCCUUGCCGUGGUGAAUUACUCCGCAAUUUGCAGUACUAUUGACGUGGGGAUCCAGCUAUUCAAUUGUUAUCUUAAUGAUAGGACUGAAUUAGGUUCUGCAGUUCUGUCUGGACUUAGCUAUUUAAUCUGCUCUACGUAAGCAAAAUAGAGCUUUGCAUCAUUAUACUCACCACAACACGUCAAUUAACUACUCAAUUGCUGGAAGGAGAACUCAUUACUGAUAGUGUGGGACAAUAUAUUUUCACCAAUUUGUUAGACUUUCGCUUCAAGAUUGUAUAACAUAGCUUUUGUCCUGCUUUCUCGAUUGAAAUUGAGAUCUACAAACGGGAGCGGAUCCACAUUAGGUGUGUGGGUUCGCGAGAACUCGCAACUUUUAUUCGAACCUUGUAUUUAUAAUGUGAAACUCUUCAAAUAUAUAAGAAAUUUGAGCUAAGAACCCAGUAACAACAGACACUGCUAGUUGGGAACCCACAAACUUCAAAUUUUGGAUCCGCCUCUGUCUACAAAUGCUACAUAUCAAGUAUCAACAUCCACUUAUGUAACUUUAGAAGAUCCAUAAAGGGGUUUCUUUUUCACAUGGAGUACAAAAUUGGAAUCGAUUGGGAGAGAAAACGAAGUGAAAACAAAAUGCUAUCUGAGAAAGCAAAAGAAUCAAUCGACCAGAAAGGAAGGAAAUAGUGACUUGUCUAAUGCCUUGCAGUAGCAUUUGCCAU